UACGUAGGGGACGAGCGUUGUCCGGAAUUACUGGGCGUAAAGGGCGCGCAGGCUGUAGAUCAAGUCAGCUGUGAAAUGUCUGGGCUUAACCCGGGCAUACGGUUGAAACUGAUGUACUGGAGUGCUGUAGAGGCAAGUGGAAUUCCCAGUGUAGCGGUGAAAUGCGUAGAUAUUGGGAAGAACACCGGUGGCGAAGGCGACUUGCUGGGCAGCAACUGACGCUGAGGCGCGAAAGCCAGGGGAGCAAACGGGGAUUAGAUA
rnacentral:rRNA from 1 species